AUACAAAAUCGACUUUUGUAAGACAAAAUUGACUUUUGUAACAAAAGUCAUUUUUGUUUCACAAAAGUCAAUUUUGUCUCACAAAAGUCAAUUUUGUCUCACUAAAGU
rnacentral:pre_miRNA from 1 species